CCUACGGGGGGCAGCAGUGGGGAAUAUUGGACAAUGGGCGCAAGCCUGAUCCAGCCAUGCCGCGUGUGUGAAGAAGGCCUUUUGGUUGUAAAGCACUUUAAGCGAGGAGGAGGGUACUCUGGCUAAUACCUAGAUGUAUCGGACGUUACUCGCAGAAUAAGCACCGGCUAACUCUGUGCCAGCAGCCGCGGUAAUACAGAGGGUGCGAGCGUUAAUCGGAAUUACUGGGCGUAAAGCGCGCGUAGGCGGUUAUGUAAGUUGGAUGUGAAAUCCCCGGGCUUAACCUGGGCACUGCAUUCAAAACUGCAUAGCUAGAGUAUGGGAGAGGAUGGUAGAAUUCCAGGUGUAGCGGUGAAAUGCGUAGAGAUCUGGAGGAAUACCGAUGGCGAAGGCAGCCAUCUGGCCUAAUACUGACGCUGAGGUGCGAAAGCAUGGGGAGCAAACAGGAUUAGAUACCCGGGUAGUC
rnacentral:rRNA from 1 species